CCUACGGGCGGCUGCAGUGAGGAAUAUUGGUCAAUGGACGAGAGUCUGAACCAGCCAAGUCGCGUGAAUGAUGACUGCCCUCUGGGUUGUAAACUUCUUUUAUAACGGAGUAAAACGAGGCACGUGUGCCUUUUUGCAUGUACUUUAUGAAUAAGGAUCGGCUAACUACGGGCCAGCAGCCGCGGUAAUACGGAGGAUCCGAGCGUUAUCAUGAUUUAUUGGGUUUACAGGGAGCGUAGAUGGGUUGUUAAGUCAGUUGUGAAAGUAUGGGGCGCAACCGUGACAUUGCAAUUGAUACUGGCAGUCUAGAGUACAUGUGAGGUAGGCGGAAUGCGUGGUGUAGCGGUGAAAUGCGUAGAGAUCACGAAGAACCCCGAGUGCGAAGGCAGCUUACUAAACUGUGACUGACAUUGAUGCUCGAAAGUGUGGGUAUCAAACAGGAUUAGAUACCCGUGUAGUC
rnacentral:rRNA from 1 species